AAGUUGCAAAUACACCAAGAAGAAUAGCAGCACUUGCGGUUGCAACAAGACAAACUCAUAGCAACACUUGCUGAUGACAUAGAGAUCAUCAGUACUGCUGCUGCUGCUGCUGCUGCUGCUGCUGCUGCUGCUGCUGCUGCUGCUGCUGCUGCUGCUGCUGCUGCUGCUGCUGCUGCUGCUGCUGCUGCUGCUGCUGCUGCUGCUGCUGCUGCUGCUGCUGCUGCUGCUGCUGCUGCUAUUACUUUUUUUUAACGAUCUAAU
rnacentral:sRNA from 1 species